CUUUCUUAAGUGGAAAGAAAACUUGCACUAAAUUAAUUCCACAUCCGUAUUAGCAAUAUUCAAUUAAUGGCCAAAUUCUUUCCAUCCAAAUGACUGCUACUCUAGUUCAAACCUUCAUCAUCCCUUGCUUGGACAAAUAUAACAAUAAUAACUCAUUUAUAAAUUAAUAUUUGCAAUAUACUUUCCACACAACAGUCUAACCUGUAUUGUGAAUAUUACCUCCAUUUUAUAGAUAAGGAUACUGAGAUUUAGGGAAGUUCGAUGACUUGCCCAGUUAUACAAGAAGUGUCAGAACUAGGAUUUGAACCUUGGUAUUUUCUGACUUCGAGUCCAGUGUUAUUUUUAUAAAGCCUUGAAAUAGCCUCUAAAUUUGUCUCCUUGCUUCUAGUCUCUCCCCUCUCUAAUUAAGCAUGCUAAAAUAUUAAUGGAAUUCUAGACUUGAAAUUGAGAGUGACAUUAAAAUUCACCUCAUUCAACUCUAUCAUUUUGCAGAUUGAGAUUCUGACACAAGCAAGUUAAGGAAUUUGUUCAGAUCACAAAGGACUGAGAUGGGACUUGAACGCAAGUGUUCAGAAGAUAGUUAUAAGAGAAGGAAGAUCAUAUAUAAUGAGGACUAUGAAAAAAAAUGGAGGUCUGAGGAGUUGAAUUUGAAAGGAUAGACUACAGAGAGGCAAGGAGAAGGUAGUUGGCAAGUGAGCAUGGAGUCUUGUCUUCAUUGGAGGAAUUCCUUGGGGUGCUGAGGAUCCAAGUCUUUGGAGUCACCUAUUCUCAUUUCUACCUGUAAAGAAGUAUUCAAGUACUUCUAGGGGCUUUAGCCUCUGUCUCCAUGCUCAGCUGAAAUGGCUUGCUUGGACCCUUUCCCAAAUGUUCCAUUAUGAUUCAAACUCCAUUGUCAACUCUUCUUGAGGAGAAAGUACACCCAGAACACACACUCGCAGACAUCACAGUCUUUUCUUCCAAGUUAUAGUGCUCUCCUGCCUUCUCUAUGCCCCUAAAAUAGUAGGAAAUAUAGAGGAAAUCUCAUGAAAAGGGGGGCCCCUUUAUCUAUUUUUCUAUGUCAAAGAAACAUUAUUCCAAGCUCCUGUCAAUGAGCUGCCUCAAUUGAUUUCCAUCCAUGGCAGUCUUCAUAUGGAGACUAAGAUGCUGUGGAAGUGAUAUCUAUCUAGAAAUGAGUUGACCCAGUUAAUGGCUGAAAUA
rnacentral:lncRNA from 1 species